CCAAGGAGUCUAACAUGUGCGCAAGUCGUCGAGAAAUUAUCAAACUAAACUCGCGAGGCGCAAUGAAAGUGAAGCGGCCCCGAUGAGGGUGCAUCCGCGAGGGGUGAUCCCGUCUCGAACAGAGCGGGCGCAACCCCUGGGCGUCCGAAUGCUCGCGAGAUCUUUCCCCUUAAAAGGGUUUGGUCGAGUCGGCCGGACGAACCUAGAGCGCACACGUUGGGACCCGAAAGAUGGUGACCUAUGCCUGGCCAGGACGAAGCCAGGGGAAACCCUGGUGGAGGUCCGCAGCGAUUCUGACGUGCAAAUCGAUCGUCGGAGUUGGGUAUAGGGGCGAAAGACUAAUCGAACCAUCUAGUAGCUGGUUCCCCCCGAAGUUUCCCUCAGGAUAGCUGGUGCUCGCAAAGAGAACAAACGGAGUUUCAUCCGGUAAAGCGAAUGAUUAGAGGCCUUGGGGUCGAAACGACCUCAACCUAUUCUCAAACUUUCAAUGGGUGAGAAGCCCGGCCUUUUUCCUUGAUUGAGGCCGCGGCAAUUGAUUUGAAUCUGAGCGCCCAGUGGGCCAUUUUUGGUAAGCAGAACUGGCGCUGUGGGAUGAACCAAACGCCCGGUUAAGGCGCCUAAACGACGCACAUUUCGGAUCCCACGAAAAGGAGUUGGUUGCUAAAGACAGCAGGACGGUGGCCAUGGAGGUCGGAAUCCGCUCAGGAGUGUGUAACAACUCACCUGCCGAAGCAACUAGCCCUUAAAAUGGGAGGCGCUAUAGCGUCGUGCCUAUACCGGGCCGUCGGUCGGCAGAGCGAAUAACGUCCGUGUCAGCUCGAAGAGAGCGACGGCGCUGAGGCCCCGACGAGUAGGGGGGUCGCGACGGUGAGCGUAGAAGGGUUGUGGGCGUGAGCCUGCCCGGAGCCGCCGUCGGUGCAGAUCUUGGUGGUAGUAGCAAAUACUCCAGAGG
rnacentral:rRNA from 1 species